AAGAUGCUUAGCAACAUAAAUUUGGGGCUCAAUCAUGGUCAUAAGUCGAGGACUACCUGUAGAUGUGCCACGGCACCUGUAGUGGGCAUGUUUUUUGGAGAGAGAUUCCUCCUUCAGAGGAAUACAGCAACAGGCCUCAUUCCCAUACAACAUCUAUAUGUAAAGAAUACUAGACAACCCAUGAUCCAUUGGGUCAGUCUUUCCACACACAGUAUAAUAUAGGCUUGCACAGUUUCCCUUCAUCUCACAACCCUUAGGAGAGCUCCGGUUAAGCCGCCUCCUCCUCCUCAGCUGAUCCAAUGAAUUGCUUGCCACUGCUGAGGGAAGGGGAAACCAAGAAAGUUGCAGACCACAAGGUAAACUGAACCCCUGCUCCCCAUUCUGGUGCGUGCCCAAGGAUCCCCUCCCUACAGGGAGGAAGAGGGCUCAUACAUCAAUGCCAGUGCCCCCCCCCCAGCCAGUCCUACCUUACCAGCAGGCACAUCAGUCCCUCCCUCGUCCUUCCUCUUUCCAGAAUAUAGGCUUGGGGAAAUCUCCAGCCGGUCCUACCUUGUCAGCAGCCAUUCAAGAGUCAAUCCUUCAUUCUUCCCUUUCUGCCACCGCUGUUAAGAGAUUUCAGAUUUUGGGCUUACUUUUAACAUAGCCAAAUAGCCACUUACUCAUUGGGCCUUCCUACCAGCCAAUUGGGCAUAGGGGCCAGAGGAACACAGGAAAAAGGGUUGGAAUACAAUCUUUCCUUGUGCCACACAACCUAUGGGUUUCUGGGGAACUGUCGUUGAUAUUGUGGCACUGAAGCGGCCCCAACUUUCCCAGAUUUCAUUUCCAUAGGAGUUAUGGCUCUCAGCAUUCUGUAAGUUAUACCAUGUCAGUUCCUUGGUUCAAUAAUUGUUGCCGUAUAUUCUCCAAUUUUGUCCAAUUGAAGGUUACAAAGUUGCAAACAGACAUGAGAAUAUUAGUAGUAUAUAGAUACCACAUUUAAAUACUUUAAUUAUUCUCAGGGUAGAGGUAUCAGUACUUGGGUCAUGCAAUAGAAUAGUUUUUAAUAAUGGAUUGCUAUCAAACGUCAUUCAGUAGUUUCUUUCCUGCUAUUUUCCCAUUGUGUAUUACAAUAUGCUAUUUCCUUUUCAUUCUUAAACUGUUAUAUAAUCUUGCUCUGUAGUCUACAAUAUAUCUUUGUAACUUUUGUAAACAUUUUGUUGGUAUUGUUAACAUUUUAACUGUUUUUAACCCCUACUAAUUCAGUCUUCAAGGCAUUCCAAUUAAUAAAUUAUAAAUGAGCCAUGCUAGAGUACUGUUGCAUUCAUUUUAGUUAACUCCAACUUUGAGUUGAGAUAAAUGUAAAAAAUACUUAUACUUUAGUUCUUUAUUUCUGUAAACUUUUGAUGUUGUGUAUAUGCAUGGAGAUUUGUUCAGCACUAUGGGACAGGACUUCAAUUUGCAUAAUGAAAUUUUCUAUUUGUGAGGAAUCAAGGAUCCAUAUGCUAGCAGAAAAGCUUUGAUAUGUUUUUAGAAGAUAUAUGUAAUACUUUAAUAAGUAGAAAUCAAGAAUCCCUGUCAUCUACCUCUUUAUUCAGAGAUAACUGAAUUUCAAUACUUCUGAAAAAAGAGUGUCAUGGAUCCAGACAGCUAUUGUGGUUAGAAAUGCACCCAGAACCAAUUUUGCAUAUUUUAAAAGAUAGCAUAGAUUCUUCCCCUGAAUGAAAUUGAAUGGAUGUGGCUAAAAUAAAAAUGUCCUGAUUAUGUAUUGAAGAUAAUGCUGCCAUAUUUUUCCUGCAAAAUACUUUUUUUUGUUCAAAAUCUUUUCUAGCUAUUCGUCUCCUUGACUUUUCUUUCCAGAUUUUGUUUCCUAUCCUGUUUGCCAUGUUUCCCUUCUUACGUGUCAGGAAAUUACCCUCCCCUUCUUCAUUUUGAUGGCAGAAACCAGUGAAGCCCAAGCUAAAGAAAAUAAUAUAUGAUUCAGUUGCUUCCCAAGGCCAUCAAGAUCCAUUAAUUUGGAAAAGCAACAAGAAAAAGGCCUAGAGUUUAAAUUAUGGAACGUAGACACAGGUAAAGGCUUUGAUGGUUUUACUCUAUAGUAGACAAAUAAACUAUUGUAUUAUUUUAUCUUUCUCUAAUACUAAUAAUAUAUUUUAAUAGUAUAGAUGAGGUAAUAGUAUAAUCUAAUCGUAUUUGACAAUCUUCAAUCAGUUAAUGCCAAAUCUUGUUCCCGUAACCUUUCACUAAGCAAAAUGGUGUGUUUGUUUGAACCAAGAUACCUCAAAUGAGUUAACUUACAGAAUGUGUCCAAAUUCCUGGACCCAUAACUCCCAUGGAAUUGAUAUUCAGAAAAUUUUAUAAAACAACUUAUGACAUAAAAACUAUCAUAAAACAGUUUAUGACAUAAUAUAAAAUGUCAGAAACAUUUCCUGUGUGAUGUUUGACAAUGGGCGAUGUUCAAGGCAGAUGCAUCUCUGAAAGCAUGUAUCUUGGAAGGCAGUACAUUAGGAGUUCUGUCAUUGUUAAAAGCAUUAAGGAAUCUGAUAAAAAAAAUUCUCUAAAAGGAUCAUCCAAGGGAACAUGGGUUUUCUAAUAAGGGACUAAAAUGACUGGAAAGCUGAAAUAUACUACUGAACGCUGGUUUGAAACCUGGCACUUGAGUUGAUUUGAAUGUAUUUAUUUAUUUUAUUAAACAAAUGUAUAUAGCUGCCCAGCUCACACAGUGACUCCGGGUGGCAUAAAUCAUUAAAAAUAACAGUUGUAAAAUCCACAAUUUAAACCCCACCAGUCUACCCCAGGUUGGAAAUUCAGCUUUUGUCACAAUCUGAUUUGAUUUUCUGGCUUCCAGAUUCAAGGACAAUUGAAUUCAACCUAAUUCUAGAUUCUGUUUUAAAGACAUUUUUUAUUAGGCUAUAUUUGGAAAAUAUUAAAAUGGCAGAAUGAGAUGAAACUAGCAGAGAUAAUAUUCUUAAAAUGACAGCUCACUCUGACUCAAGAGUUUCACUGCAAUAUAUAUUUUUAAUGUUCUUCUUGUGUUUGCUUUAAGACACAGGUAGUGAAGAUAUGGAAAGGACAGCUCAGCGGCCUCGAGUCUUUGUGGUCGUAAGCUUGUACAAGAUUGUACUGAAAAAAAAUUCUAUUUUAAAAAUACAAACUUUCUGGACUAGCAGAUGGGACAUGCUUUUUUUUUUUUUUUUUAGCAGAAU